AUUGAACGCUGGCGGCAGGCCUAACACAUGCAAGUCGAGCGGAUGAAGGGAGCUUGCUCCUGGAUUCAGCGGCGGACGGGUGUGUAAUGCCUAGGAAUCUGCCUGGUAGUGGGUGAUAACGUCCGGAAACGGGCGCUAAUACCACCUACGUCCUGAGGGAGCUAGUGGGGGAUCUCCGGACCUCACGCUAUCAGAUGAGCCUAGGUCGGAUUAGCUAGUUUGUGGGGUAAAGGCCUACCAAGGCGACGAUCCGUUACUGGUCUGAGAGGAUGAUCAGUCACACUGGAACUGAGACACGGUCCAGACUCCUACGGGAGGCAGCAGUGGGGAAUAGUGGACAAUGGGCGAAAGCCUGAUACAGCCAGGCCGCGUGUGUGAAGGAAGUCUUCGGAGUGGAAAGCACUUUAAGUUGUGAGGAAGGGCAGUAAGUUAAUACGUUGCUGUUUUGACGGUACCAACAGAAGAAGCACCGGCUAACUUCGUG
rnacentral:rRNA from 1 species